rnacentral:tRNA from 1 species
GGGGAGAUACCCAAGUGGCCAACGGGGGCAGACUGUAAAUCUGUUGUCUUACGACUUCGCAGGUUCGAAUCCUGCUCUCCCCA